AUUGAACGCUGGCGGCAGGCCUAACACAUGCAAGUCGAGCGAGCGGCGGACGGGUGAGUAAUGUCUGUGAAAAUGCCUGAUGGAGGGGGAUAAAUACUGGAAACAGUAGCUCAAACCGCAUACCAUCAGAUGUGCCCAGAUGGGCUUAGCUCUUAUGUGGGGUAACGGAUCCCCCAGGCGACGAUCCCUAGCUGGUCUGGGAGGAUGACAAGCCACACUGGAACUGGGACACGGUCCAGACUCCGACGAGAGGCAGCAGUGGGGAAUAUUGCACUAUUGGCGCAAGCCUGAUGCAGCCAUGCCGCGUGUGUGAAGAAGGCCUUCGGGUUGUAAAGCACUUUCAGCGAGGAGGCGUUACUCGCAGAAGAAGCACCGGCUAACUCCGUGCCAGCAGCCGCGGUAAUAC
rnacentral:rRNA from 1 species